CCUACGGGUGGCAGCAGUGAGGAAUAUUGGUCAAUGGGCGCGAGCCUGAACCAGCCAAGUAGCGUGAAGGAUGACUGCCCUACGGGUUGUAAACUUCUUUUAUAAAGGAAUAAAGUGAGGCACGUGUGCCUUUAUGUGUGUACUUUAAGAAUAAGGAUCGGCUAACUCCGUGCCAGCAGCCGCGGUAAUACGGAGGAUCCGAGCGUUAUCCGGAUUUAUUGGGUUUAAAGGGAGCGUAGAUGGGUUGUUAAGUCAGUUGUGAAAGCUUGCGGCUCAACCGUAAAAUUGCAGUUGAUACUGACAGUCUUGAGUGCAGUAGAGGUAGGCGGAAUGCGUGGUGUAGCGGUGAAAUGCUUAGAUAUCACGAAGAACUCCGAUUGCGAAGGCAGCUUACUAGACUGCCACUGACAUUGAUGCUCGAAAGUGUGGGUAUCAAACAGGAUUAGAUACCCGUGUAGUC
rnacentral:rRNA from 1 species